UAAACCCACUAUGAUGGUAUAUGGAGACAGCAGGUUGAGGUAAACCCACUAUGAUGGUAUAUGGAGACAGCAGGUUGAGGUAAACCCACUAUGAUGGUAUAUGGAGACAGCAGGUUGAGGUAAACCCACUAUGAUGGUAUAUGGAGACAGCAGGUUGAGGUAAACCCACUAUGAUGGUAUAUGGAGACAGCAGGUUGAGGUAAACCCACUAUGAUGGUAUAUGGAGACAGCAGGCUGAGGUAAACCCACUAUGAUGGUAUAUGUAGACAGCAGGCUGAGGUAAACCCACUAUGAUGGUAUAUGGAGACAGCAGGUUGAGGUUGACCCACUAUGAUGGUAUAUGGAGACAGCAGGUUGAGGUAAACCCACUAUGAUGGUAUAUGGAGACAGCAGGUUGAGGUAAACCCACUAUGAUGGUAUAUGGAGACAGCAGGUUGAGGUUGACCCACUAUGAUGGUAUAUGGAGACAGCAGGCUGAGGUAAACCCACUAUGAUGGUAUAUGGAGACAGCAGGUAAACCCACUAUGAGGGUAUAUGGAGAUAGUAGGUUGAGGUAAACCCACUAUGAGGGUAUAUGGAGAUAGUAGGUUGAGGUAAACCCACUAUGAAGGUAUAUAUAGACAGCAGGUUGAGGGCUAUGUUAUGAAACCAGUUAGCCAGACUACUGAAAAGCGCACUCGCUUUGUUAGGGCCCUGGGCUGUUCAACUCUGGUCCUGGAGGGCCAAAACACUUCUGGUAUUCAUCCUUUCCUUCUAAUCAGGGACUGUUUCAGACCUGGGACAUCAGUUGCAGGAGCGGACUGGCCAUCUGGCAUUUCAGACAAAUGCUAUAUGGGUUUGUCCAGCCCAGUGAGCCUGUCUAACCAUUUUUUCCUGCAAAAUGAUCAUUAUUUGGUUAGUAAUAGGGGCAUCAAGGCUAAAAAGAGAGUCGGUGUGGUGGUAUCGAGGAAAAAUUUGUGUUACAAAUGUCAGAGACAAUGUCUGGUCCCAGUCCGCCCCUAACCAGGUGAGUGUAAUUCAUUACCAGGUGGAAACAAAAACAAGUGUUUGGGACCUCCAGGACCAGAGUUGAAGAGCCCUCUAGGGUCUACAGUAUAUACAGUAUAACCUGAUAGUGUUUGAAGAAGACGUAAGAGUUGAGAGUUAGUGGACAGGUAUGGUCUGUGUACCUCAACACAGGAAGCUUAUCAGAUAUAGUGGAAAAAAUGGUCUCAGUUCCAGUCUGCUUAAGGAGUGGCUCUCCCAUAGGCACCAAUGCAUUAGCAGCUGGGUCUGGUCUGCUUAGUUCACUUACUCUAUAUGAGCUUACCUUCUCCAGCUUCUGACCUGACUGGCACUGUUGAAGUCUUUAACCAAAGACAGCCAGGCCCUUCCUUUAAUCAACUCCAAUCAGGAAAUU